AAUGAAGAGCCUGAACUAAAGGAAUAUCGUGAUAGGAUAAAAUAUGCAGGUUCACAGCCCUGCCCUCAUUA
rnacentral:tRNA from 1 species